UACCUACAAGAAUGAAGUUGGGUUGACAAGACUGCAUGUAGUAACCUUUAGUAUCAGCUAUUCUUACAUUUUUCCAGCAUCAAAGUAUUUACAGUAAAUUCUCAGUACAACAAUGCUCCUUAAACUAUUUGAUGGCAAAGCCUCUAACUGUCCGAAUUUGUAUGGGACAGUCCUGAUCAAUCAUUUCACUUUUUCAGUUGCUUUUAAAGUUCCAGUUUCUCUCUCUUCCUCCCACUUUCUCUUUGUUCUCAGCAUGCUUCAGUUGCUGCAAAACGAGUACACAGUUUGCACACAAUCAAUUGGGGUUGGAGAGGAGAAAAGGGGCAGAAUUUAACCUUCCCAAUAGACACAGGGAAGACUGCAGCCUUUCUUAGCUUGUGUGUUCUUUCUUAUUAACAGCUUUUGCCAUCAUGACCUUGUGUGUUUCACCUCAUAUUGGAGAAUAUGGGACUUGCAGCAGUUUAUCCUAUUGUUCUGGGGACUGACACCAUAUUUCUGACAACUAUUUCUUUCUUUCCUGGAAACUUGCCACAGAUGGGCAGCCAAUAGCUCCCAGACUGGCACUGGUCCCUAGACCAUCACUUUAAGAAGUAUUGAUAUAUACAGCACAUCAGACAGUGUUUAACACAAGAGCCUUUGUUGUUCUGGGACCGUAUAUGAGCACAGUCACUGUUCUGGAUCUCUGUCUCAGAAUUCAGUGUAUUUGCAGAGGGAUUUGUACCAGAUGAUUGUAAGUUUGCUCUCAAAUGUUAUUUACCCAAAAUAAAGCUUUGUAAUGCAGGGCAGAAAGGGUCUGCAGAGAGCUGAUAGAGUACUGAAUAAUUCACUUUGAUCAAGGCAGAAACAGUACAAAGCUGUAUCUAAAUCCCCAAGGGUUAAUAUUUGAAAGGAAAGAGAUGUAGAUAAUGAAUUGCCAACCAAGCCAUUUAUUUUAACAACUUUUAAACUAUUAGUUUAUUUAAAAACCAUUAGCAUUUCACGCAUUAAGCCAUGCAAUUUAACACCCUAUUCCCUUGGCCUUUUAAAAAGAAAUCCUGUGCAUGAUUACCUCACGGUAAGCAAAAAAGAAGGGGGGGGGGGGAAUCCAUUUGUCAAACAAGAAUGAACUUGCAGUCCCAUGAGCCUGUUUUCCAUGUUUUCCCCCUAAAUAAUUCACUGUCAACAGGACUGCAGCUUCUGUUUUUGUUCCUGGGUUUAAUAGCAAACCUGCUGCAAGUACAGUAAUAGAAAGGAUUUUCUCAGCAGGGACUACUGUAGAUCAAGGGUGUAUAGAAGUGGGAAAGGCCUAGCUAUUCAAAUAUACAAAGUCCAUACCAGUUUCCUUUUUAUCAGACAUUGCAUGUCACCCUAUGUUUCAACCCUGCUAUAAGGACUAUGGACCUUAGAAUCAUAGAAUCAUAGAAUAGUAGAGUUGGAAGAGACCUCAUGAGCCAUCCAGUUCAACCCCCUGCCAAGAAGCAGGAAAUCGCAUUCAAAGCACCCCCGACAGAUGGCCAUCCAGCCUCUGCUUAAAAGCCUCCAAAGAUGGGAGCCUCCACCACAGUCCGGGGGAGAAAGUUCCACUGCCAAACAGCUCUCACAGUGAGGAAAUUCUUCCUGAUGUUCAGGUGGAAUCUCCUUUCCUGUAGUUUGAAGCCAUUGUUCCGCAUCCUAGUCUCCAGGGCAGCAGAAAACAAGCUUGCUCCCUCCUCCCUAUGACUUCCCUUCACGUAUUUGUACAUGGCUAUCAUGUCUCCUCUCAGCCUUCUCUUCUGCAGGCUAAACAUGCCUAGUUCUUUAAGCUGCUCCUCAUAGGGCUUGUUCUCCAGACACUUGAUCAUUUUAGUUGCCUUCCUCUGGACGCUUUCCAGCUUGUCAACAUCUCCCUUCAAUUGCGGUGCCCAGAACUGGUCACAGUAUUCCAGGUGUGGUCUGACCAAGACAGAAUAGAGGGGUAGCAUGACUUCCCUGGAUCUAGAUGCUAUACCCCUAUUUAUGCAGGCCAGAAUCCCGUUGGCUUUUUUAGCAGCCGCAUCACAUUGUAGUCUCAUAUUUAACUUGUUGUCCAUGAGGACUCCAAGAUCUUUUUCACAUGUACUGCUGUCGAGCCAGGAGUCCCCCAUUCUGUAUCUUUGCAUUCCAUUUUUUCUGCCGAAGUGAAGUAUCUUGCACUUGUCCCUGUUGAACUUCAUUUUGUUAGUUUCGGCCCAUCUCUCUAGUCUAUCAAGAUCGUUUUGAAUUCUGCUCCUGUCUUCUGGAGUGUUAGCUAUCCCUCCCAGUUUAGUGUCAUCUGCAAACUUGAUAAAUCACAACUUAGAUCCCACACUAUAAAACAUAGAUGGAACUUGUGGAGUUCUCUGGGUGCUGCAAGCAGCCACAGACUUUCCUGGGCAGGGAUAAGAUAAGCACCAUCACCCAGGCAAUGGUAAAUUUCCAAUUAGUUUGCUGCAAUGCAUUUGAGGCUGUCCUUGUAUUUUAAUAACUCCCAUAUUUUAUUUUAUUUUAAUGUUUAUAUACUUUAGAUUUUAAUUCAUACAAUUUUAAUUUGUUAGCCAUUUUGAGUCUCCUCGAGAAAGAGAAAGCACAAUGCAAAUACAAUAUUUGUAUAAAUAUAGCUGCCUGAGAACUGUAGUUUGUUGGAGAGGCCCUCCUCUGUGCCCCAUCCGUCAGAACAAUGCACUGUGAGAAGAUAUGGAAGAAGCCUUUCUCUGCUAUGACAUACCCAGAAACACAAUUUGUAUUAAUGUCAUUCCAGUACCAAAUCAAAACAAGGCUUUUCAUUAACACCUUUGGGGACUCACUGAUAACUGCUUCCAUAUGCUUUAAGUCUUUCAAUAUUAUUGUUGUUUAAACCUUUUUUAAUUGAUUUUUUUUGUACAGCUGCCCUCAGGUCCUUGGAUAUAAGGUGGAGUAUACAGGUAUUUUUAAUGCAAUGGAUGUAUUUCUGGGCAUUAUUUUUUUAACAGAAAAUGUGGUACCAGAGGAAGACACAUGGAAACAACAGGGAUAGAUUUCUAUACCACAAAAAACAAGAGAAGUUCAACAAGUUUAUAAAAUAGUUAUUCAAAACUAUUUGCAAGGAGACAUCUUUAAGCUGUGUAUGAAAGCUCUGCAGCCCAUUUAAACAGUGUAGCUCUGCUCCUAAAGCAUCCCAAGAAAGGCAAUUCUCUUUCUGUCGUCAGAAAAAUUGUGGUCCAGGGAGUCUAGACAGGCAAAGGGCUACAAACACAACUCUAAGGGCCACACUCUGUCCCAUGCCCUAAUCUAUACAAUAAAUGAGUGGAUACACUAAGAGUAAAGGCAGAGGCAAGGUACCACUGAACACCAGAUAUUUUAGACAGUUGGAAUUACAUUCAUAGCUUCCUUUCAAGCUUUUCAGAAAUGCCUUCCAUUAAUAAUAAAAAUUCUUUAUAUCCCAUCAUUUCAGGUUUUAGUAACCACCAUUAGUAUCAUCAACAGUACAGAUUGAGAAUCCCUUAUCUAAAGUUCUGAAAUCCAAAAUACUACAACAUUCAGAAUUGUCCACAUGGGUGGCUGACAUAGUGACACCUUCGCUUUCUGAUGGUUCAAUGUACACAUUGUUUCCUGCAUAAAAUUAUUACCUAUGGUAUAAAGUUGCCUUCAGGAUAUGUGUGUAUGAAUACAUGGCCUUUAAAGGAGGUCAGAAUCAUUACAGGACAGAUGAGAACAGCAGACCCUUUGGAUGGUGGAGCUACACAGAACUGGAAGCAGAAUCUAUGUGUCUGCUUCUGCCUUGGUUUUAGGAACCAUCACAGAGCCACCUGAUGGUAGAUCAUCUUGUAAAUUCCUGGAUAAUUCAAAUGGAUAGCAUUUGGAAGUGGCCUUCCAGUGCCUCCCUUUCCUCCUUGGAAGUUAUAAUCCAAAUGUCAAUGCUUUAUUCAGUCACUUUCUUUGGAGUCAGUAUUUAUGGGGCUCUCUCUUCUUCCUACCUGCCAAUUUUCACAUAAGCUAAGGAGUUAACAAGUUCUCAUUUUCAUGCUUUUUUUACACCCAGAAAAUCAUCAGGUUAGAGAUGACUGCUUUCUAAAAACCGCUGUUUAUUCAUUAGUAUUUGCUAACAUGGUACACAUUUUGUUGAUCUGGCCUAUAAUUCCUAUCACUCCUUUAAAACCAGAAAGUGUGGUAGGGAAGGCUCACCAGUAUUCAAUAAGCAUGGGGUGCUCAUCCUCUUACUACAGUUGCAUACAUCAGAUAAAACCUAUGGGGUGGGGGAAGGAUGAAAUAAAAUUGAGGUCAUCUUCAUGCAUGACAGCCUCCAAUAGCCCCAUGUUUUCCUUUCUUGGGAAAGAUGGGGAACUGGCUGGCUAAAUGCGCAUGCUACAGAGAGCAGUAGAUACUAUAAUGCAGCAUCAGUGUCUUUUAAACAGAGGAAACCGGCAGGCUAUGCAUAGUCUAGAAGCCCUGUGCCAAACAAGUAGAAUUAUUUAUGGCACAAUAGUGGAAAAGAACACUUUGUUAGCAGGCAAGGAGGCCCUUGGGUAUACAGAUGAACACUCUGCAACUUGCAUUCAAUAAGUGAUUCUCUAGAUGCAUUAUGCGAGUCUCCUUUGGCAUAUCACUUGAGGAAACUGAAGAACUCUAGAAAUCCAUUCAUUGUGUGCAUAUACACACAUAUAAAACAAAUGUGCAUUUGAAGAACAUAACAUUAUAGCAGAGCAUGAAAAGUUACUGACCAUGCUGUGUGGGAGUUGCUGAAGCGAAUUUUCAAAGAAGUAACUUUUUACUGGAAUUGAUUAAAAGAAGGAGCAUUAUUUAUCUUUAUAGAAGGAGACUAUUUCGAGACCUACCUUAAUGAAGACAGGUUAAAAAGUGGUAUGACAACUCUGUCCCUGAUUAAAUGUGGAAUAUUACUGCCUUAUCCCAAAUCAGACCACACUGGUUCAUUCUGGCAGCAUACAAGGCACCUGACUAUUGGUUGUUCUCUCUUUCAGUAAAAAAUAUUCAUCAGGAAAUGACAGAGAUUGAAAUGGGGAUCCUAUGCACAAUUGGGAAUUGUCUGCAACUAGCAAAACCUGCUUGAUCAUAAGUUAACAGAAUAACAGAAGAAACCAGUAUGUAUUCCAUGAACAAGCAUAGCUAUCUUACAGCAGGUCAGUUCCCACCUAAAGUUAAAGCAUAAUUUAAUGCUAUAUAGACAUGCCUGGAAAAACAAAACAAACAACACAAGAAGUCUGUAUAGUUCUCUUUCUUAUUGCACAGCUUACUUUUCUAUGAAUCAAAUAUCAUGAUUUAAAACCAAAACGAAUACAGUGUUCUCUUGCUACUUCACAGUUCACUUUUUGCGCCCUCAGUGUUUUGCGGGUUUUUAAUAAACACUAAAAUAAUAGUAUAAAUCAUAAAAUAAUAUAAAUCCCUUAUAAAUCCUUCCUUCUACUUCCUUCCUAAGGAGAAGCCUAAGGAAGGGAGAGAAAAGGAGGCUGAAGCAACUUUGUUUUUGCCUCACAAGGCAGCAGCGGCAGCGGCGGCAGCAGGAGUGCACAUGCGCCUGCUUGAGAGGUGAAGAGGGGACAUAGAUGCUACUUGCAAACACCACAAAUAUAGCGUCCCUACUUUUCGCAGGUGGUCCUGGAACGUAACCCCCGCGAUAAGUGAGGGAUCAUUGUAUAUCAGUCUGACAUUCCUCAUACAGUAACAGGAACUUGGUUUAUUAUGGCCAAACCGAAGCCUCUGACCAUAUGCCAGUGGAGGUGAAAAGUCUGGUGCUUCACUCAGCCAUAUAGCACUGAAUUGUGGCUGAACAUUAUGCAAGUCAGUCCACUGUAUUCAUCUAAUAAAGAACAAACACAUCUUACUUCAGUUUUGUUGCACUCUAGCCCAGGAAAGACCGUCUUUCCACCCAGCACCACACAGAGUCCAGUAUGAGCUAAUUACAGCAAUUUAUUUACAAAAAGCAUAUACAAAAGGAAAAAUUGGCAUUUCUCAAAAAGCAGUGGAAAAGGUGCUAUGAAAUAAAAAACACAAGAUCAAUAGUCCAAGAUAGCAAGGUACAUGAAAUGAGGAGCAUAGGCAAACAUCCAUAAGCAUCAUGAGUCCCCUUCGGGGUGAGAAGGGCGGAAUAUAAAUGCUGUAAAUAAAUAAAUAAUAAAUAAAACAGGAACUUUUCCAAGGCAAAACAAUUCCAGGAACAAAGGCAAACUUGAGAGCUAAACAUGAACUUGAUAUUAAUGCAACAUUGACUGCUCUGAAGAGACCAAAAAAAACCCCACUCAAUUUAAGCUCAAACCUGACCAGGAAGCCAUGAGGUCAUCCCUUCGGCACCUGGGUUUCAAUGAAGUUUCUCACAAAGUCUUUCUGACUUUCUAAUUAAUCUUUCCUUUGCUCUCUAUGAACUCUGAAGGACGAGAAAGCUGAGAAGGCCAAUUCUCAAGAGAAACUGAAUCCCAAACAUCCUCUAUCUCUUCUCCCUCUUCUGCAGCUGUCGACCCUGCAAUUCUGCCUUAUCACAUGCAGACUCAGUGAAAAAUCCAUCACUCCCCUCAUACUCUGAGGCAGAAUCCCCAGCAUCUUACUGAUUUCACCAGUUUCUGUUCCUGCGAUAAUUGGAUUUUGAAAAAAAUGGCUUGUUGUGGAUACAAGGAUUGGUGACAAAGCUUCAGUGGAGACACCUUUUCCCAUGAAAAUAUUUUCUGGAGUGAAUUUCCUUUCUUAGGACAUAAAUUCAAAUCAUUGUAUUCAAUGGCAAUGGAGACUUUUUCAUGCACAACUUCUUGUCCCCAUCCCCAUGGUGUUUUUGAGAGUCUGUAGAAUCUGUUGUCUCACCCUUGUUCUUAACUAUGAGUCAUUUGUAAGUAGGAUGUUUGUAACUCAGGGAUUGCCUGAACAGCUGAAACGUUUCUAUGCUGUAAACACUGCAUGUUGUUGCUAACGAUUCGUGUAAAUAUCUAGGCGAUGUUCAGAAACCUAAAACUAUUUCUAAAAUUUUCAUGACCCCAACAUUGAGCUAAUGGGACCCCAUUUGGGGCCAGGACCCACAGUGUAGCAGUGUUGUAGAAUAUAUUUCACAGAAAGAAACC